AUACCUUUCUCGGCCUUUUGGCUAAGAUCAAGUGUAGUAUCUGUUCUUAUCAGUUUAAUAUCUGAUAUAUGCUCGUUAUGUGAUGGCGUGGUAUUAAAUUUAUUUUUUCUUGGGGGAUUUCCUGUCACAGCAGCUUGCUGCUGCUGGGGUUCUCAUGUGUCGCCUUUGCAUUCCACUACUGCAAUAGCCUGGCGCACCCCUA